GGGUUGUGAGGUUAAGCGACUAAGCGUACACGGUGGAUGCCCUGGCAGUCAGAGGCGAUGAAGGGCGUGCUAAUCUGCGAUAAGCGCCGGUAAGGUGAUAUGAACCGUUAUAACCGGCGAUACCCGAAUGGGGAAACCCAGUGUGAUUCGUCACACUAUCAUUAACUGAAUCCAUAGGUUAAUGAGGCGAACCGGGGGAACUGAAACAUCUAAGUACCCCGAGGAAAAGAAAUCAACCGAGAUUCCCCCAGUAGCGGCGAGCGAACGGGGAGGAGCCCAGAGCCUGAAUCAGCAUGUGUGUUAGUGGAAGCGUCUGGAAAGGCGCGCGAUACAGGGUGACAGCCCCGUACACAAAAGCGCAUGUGCUGUGAGCUCGAUGAGUAGGGCGGGACACGUGGUAUCCUGUCUGAAUAUGGGGGGACCAUCCUCCAAGGCUAAAUACUCCUGACUGACCGAUAGUGAACCAGUACCGUGAGGGAAAGGCGAAAAGAACCCCGGCGAGGGGAGUGAAAAAGAACCUGAAACCGUGUACGUACAAGCAGUGGGAGCACCCUUUGGGUGUGACUGCGUACCUUUUGUAUAAUGGGUCAGCGACUUAUAUUCUGUAGCAAGGUUAACCGAAUAGGGGAGCCGGAGG
rnacentral:rRNA from 2 species